AUUGCCGAGUUCUAGAUAUGAAGACAAUCAAGAAAAAGAUCUGGUUUUCUUGAUUGUCUUCAUAUCUAGAACUGGGCA
ensembl:miRNA